UAAAAAAACUCGAUCUGAACAAUGGAUUUCUCGCUCGUCAAUCAAACAGGCCUUUUGGAGUCCGUCUACCCCGUCAAAAAACUGGCCGAUCUUGAACUCGCCAAAGAUUACCGCAUCACAUGUAUUCGGUUCGUCGAAACGAGAUGGGGCAAACGAAUCGUCAUGGAUGUGGACAACUCGUUUACAUGCUUCCUACCGUUAAGAUUCGUGAAAGUUUUCGAAGAUAAGAACGUUUUAUUCCAGCAGAUGUGCGCUGCAGCCUCAAACAAUAAAUUAAUCAUGGUGUACCACGGCACGGAAUACAACAGACUGGAGUUCAAACCUGCUGAAGAAUGAUCACAAACAGAAUCGUCCGACCAUCUAAGCAGCACACCUCACAAGCCGCCGCUCCAUGGUCAUCGGUCCCGUCGUGAAAUCGGCCGAAAACCAAAAAAUAUCC